GAAACAAAAAAACUUAAGUCAUGCAAUAAAUUAUACAGAAUUUUGAUUAUACAGAAUUUUGAUAAGGGAUAGAAAGGUAAAAACAUUAACUACGGAAUUUGGAACGUGGGAGGGGAGGAAAGUGAAAAAGAGUACAGUUGCCAGUUCAGUUAUCAGUCGAAACCGGAGAGUUUUACGGUUCCCACGAUCUGAGUUCAGUUGAAGGUUAAACAAUAACUACCCACAUACCACCGCUACACACAGAUGAAUCAUCCAAAAGAGCCCAAUCUUCGGAACCAGACUCCGGGACGCAUCUUGGAAGUUGGAACCCAUCCUUCUUCACACCUUCGAUCCCGAACGCCCACCUUCAGGAGCCCAUCUCCUGGCCGUGUUCCUCCACCUACGCUGCCGCCGCCUUCAUUGCCAUCUUCUCCAGAGAGGGAGAGGGCACCCAAAAAAAUUGCAACUUGCUCAGGGUAAGCUCCGGAAAAUUAGCUCAAUCGGAUCUGCAAAUGGGAGGAAUACCUAACAGCAGCAGAAACAGAGUUCACAAGAGCUAAGAGGAUACUAAGAAGCAAAGACUUACAACAUACGUAUUGACUUAAAAUGGUCUUAUUCUCUUUUGUUUCUCUUCCAUGUUUUGUUGUAUGUUUAACCAUUCUGUUUUCUAUUUGUUUUCGUAACUCUUUUUGCUUUCAAAGUUUACUGCUCGGUUAAAUAUUUGUACUAAAUUCUUCAUGUUGUUAAGAUUGGGUAAAUUUAGGGAUUCAUGAAUGGGUCCGUGGUUGAAGCUCAGGAAAAUUAGCUCAAUCGGAUCUGCAAAUGGGAGGAAUACCUAACAGCAGCAGGUAUUGCAGCGACUGCUGUUGAACUGCUUCCCUCUGGAACUGCUUCUUGGUCUAGGGAGUUUUGUGUAAAAGGAGACGUAGUGUUUAGCUAUUUCCCAGUAACCUCCCACAACUACCCCGAUAUUCUAUCAAAUUCUUUUCUCAUUCCCUCUCCCAGGUUUCCAUUCCACCAUUUUCAGCGAUUAAAGUGAAUUGGUGGAUUAUUCAAACAGAAGUACAAACAGAAUUACUGCAUUACUAAGGUAUUUCCCUCAUUUCAUUACUAAGUAUUUCCCUAUCCAUUCUUAAUCUUGUUAGAUGGUAGACAAUCGCAUAGCAUGUUUAAUAUUUACUUUGAAUGUCGUCAAAGACAUCACUUUUUAAUGCCUAUUGUCUUAAUUUUGGUUAUGGUGGUAUAUGUUUGGCUCCCUUCUAUUAGUUUGUGUUAGUCUGUGUUCUGUCAAUUCAAUAGUGUACAUUUCAUGAGUCUUUUAACCAA